rnacentral:rRNA from 12 species
GGAAACUGCGAAUGGCUCAUUAAAUCAGUUAUAGUUUAUUUGAUGGUCCCUUGCUACAUGGAUAACUGUGGUAAUUCUAGAGCUAAUACAUGCAAUCAAGCCCCGACUUCUGGGAGGGGUGUAUUUAUUAGAUAAAAAACCAACGCGGCUUGCCGCUCGUUUGGUGAUUCAUAAUAACUUCUCGAAUCGCAUGGCCUUGUGCCGGCGAUGCUUCAUUCAAAUAUCUGCCCUAUCAACUUUCGAUGGUAGGAUAGUGGCCUACCAUGGUUUCAACGGGUAACGGGGAAUAAGGGUUCGAUUCCGGAGAGGGAGCCUGAGAAACGGC